UGCAGUUGAGCGGUAAGGCCCCUUCGGGGGUACACGAGCAGCGAACGGGUGAGUAUCGCGUGGGUAACCUACCCAGAGGUGGAGGAUAGCCCCGGGAAACCGGGGGUAAUACUGCAUAUGUCCUCGAUGACACAAGUCGAUGAGGGCAAAGGCGGGGAUUCUUCGGAACCUGUCGCCUUUGGAUGGGCCCGCGUCCGAUUAGCUUGUUGGUGGGGUAACGGCCCACCAAGGCUUCGAUCGGUAGCCGGCCUGAGAGGGUGAACGGCCACAUUGGGACUGAGACACGGCCCAGACUCCUACGGGAGGCAGCAGUGGGGAAUAUUGGGCAAUGGGGGAAACCCUGACCCAGCGACGCCGCGUGGAGGAUGACGGCCUUCGGGUUGUAAACUCCUGUCAGGUGGGAAGAAAAGCCUCGUGGCUAAUAUCCACGAGGAAUUGACGGUACCACCAAAGGAAGCCCCGGCUAACUCCGUGCCAGCAGCCGCGGUAAUACGGAGGGGGCAAGCGUUAUUCGGAUUUACUGGGCGUAAAGCGCACGUAGGUGGCAUGAUAAGUCAAAGGUGAAAGCCCUCGGCUCAACCGAGGAACUGCCUUUGAAACUGUCUUCUUUGAGUCCG
rnacentral:rRNA from 1 species